UGGGGAAUUUUGGACAAUGGGCGCAAGCCUGAUCCAGCAAUGCCGCGUGCAGGAAGAAGGCCUUCGGGUUGUAAACUGCUUUUGUCAGGGAAGAAAUCUUCUGGGCUAAUACCCCGGGAGGAUGACGGUACCUGAAGAAUAAGCACCGGCUAACUACGUGCCAGCAGCCGCGGUAAUACGUAGGGUGCGAGCGUUAAUCGGAAUUACUGGGCGUAAAGCGUGCGCAGGCGGCUUUGCAAGACAGAUGUGAAAUCCCCGGGCUCAACUUGGGAACUGCAUUUGUGACUGCAAGGCUAGAGUACGGCAGAGGGGGAUGGAAUUCCGCGUGUAGCAGUGAAAUGCGUAGAUAUGCGGAGGAACACCAAUGGCGAAGGCAAUCCCCUGGGCCUGUACUGACGCUCAUGCACGAAAGCGUGGGGAGCAAACAGGAUUAGAUACCCUGGUA
rnacentral:rRNA from 1 species